rnacentral:ncRNA from 1 species
GGGAGCUUUAUGAGAUGCGAGUCUCACGUAGGGUUCUGCGAGGGGCCAGGAAGGAAGUUUUCCUGCUCUACUCUCC